CGGGGGGAGCAAGCGUUGUUCGGAUUUACUGGGCGUAAAGGGCGCGUAGGCGGCCACCGCAAGUCGACUGCGAAAUCUCCGGGCUUAACUCGGAAAGGUCAGCCGAUACUGCGGGGCUAGAGUGCAGAAGGGGCAACUGGAAUUCUCGGUGUAGCGGUGAAAUGCGUAGAUAUCGAGAGGAACACCUGCGGCGAAGGCGGGUUGCUGGGCUGACACUGACGCUGAGGCGCGAAAGCUAGGGGAGCGAACGGGAUUAGAUACCCCGGUAGUCCUAGCCUUAAACGAUGAAUGCUUGGUGUCUGGGGUUUAUAGUCCCCGGGUGCCGUCGCUAACGCUUUAAGCAUUCCGCCUGGGGAGUACGGUCGCAAGACUG
rnacentral:rRNA from 1 species